GGAAAUAGUAGUUAAACAUUAAAACGUUAUUACAAAAAUGAAGUAAGGUUGUGAGAAUUUUUGACAAGAAUUCAAAAUUGCAACAUAAUUACUGUGGCUACACUAGUUUACAUAUAACACAGGUAUGGUUGGUGAUAGUACAAGGCUACAUUUCUACACGUAGAAAUUGGAGUGGGUUGAUGGCAUAUAUGUUAGGAGUUUUUUUGUUUUGUUUCAUUUUCCUGUAAGCAUCUACUUAAUAGUUAAUGACGAUUUCCUGAGUACCAGUCAGCACAGUGGAUGAACAGAGAGGAGGAUAAGGAGGUCUUCAAAAUAGCUGUGUUUUUCUUUUCCUCCUUAGCACGUGUGAGGGCCAGAGAUGAGGAGGAGGAAGGUGAGAGACACACAAAAUGAGGAGCAGCAGCAGACAUGCAGUGUGUCUCCAGCCGGGACACUUGGGCUUCUCCUGGAGUUACAGCCCACACUGGUGUUCUGGGAAAUGGAAACAGCAAGAGCAAAGAAGCUACCAGCUGGUGGUGGGCAUCAUGGGAAGGAUGGCGUGGUGGGAAAAUGAGGCUGCCCUAUGGACAAGACAAGUAGUGUGUGAGUGUGAACAGCAAAACCAGAAUGGAGGGAGUGGGGAAAAAAUGAGGGAGAAAGAAAUAUACUCCAAAAUAGCAAAAUAAAUGCAAUUUUCAGUAUAAACUAGUCUAGAAGCAACCUGAAUACUGUUAAUACCCUACAGACAAUUUACUCAAAAAUAGUUUCUUUAGUUGGUGUCUCACCCUUAGCUGUGAUGAAAACCCUCAUAAAGGGCUGAGGGCAAAGUUGGAUUUGGUACCUUGUGGAUCUGCCUGUUGGUUGUGGAACUGCAACAGAUCAAAAGGAUCGGAAACUUUGUAUCUCGCAGCAUGUCCUGAAUACCCAAGUAUGCCACCUGUCUGCUGUGCUACCUGCCGUUCUGUGCCCAAAGCCUGGACGAGGGUGGAUGCUGGGUGAAGCUAAACUGCCUGUUCUGCUGCGUGUGGGCACUUCAGACUUUUUGGGCCUUCCACCAUCCACUCUCUGCAGAGAAAGAAAGUAACUUGGCUUGGGGAGGCUGUCAGAAAUCCUGAGCUUGCACUAAAAAACAACCCCUGGGUCCGGUGCCUGGCUGCUGACAUGAAAGCUAGAAAUUGUCGUCUUAGUAGAAGUAACAACU
rnacentral:lncRNA from 1 species